rnacentral:rRNA from 1 species
UACGGAGGAGGCAAGCGUUAUCCGGAAUGAUUGGGCGUAAAGCGUCCGCAGGUGGCAGUUCAAGUCUGCUGUCAAAGACCGGGGCUUAACUUCGGAAAGGCAGUGGAAACUGAACAGCUAGAGUAUGGUAGGGGUAGAGGGAAUUCCCGGUGUAGCGGUGAAAUGCGUAGAGAUCGGGAAGAACAUCGGUGGCGAAGGCGGCUUCCUGGACACCAACUGACGCUGAGACGCGAAAGCGUGGGGAGCAAACAGG